AAUUCCGCAGCGUGCACUUGGGGGUGGGGGUGGGGGCGGGAAGGUUGGCUGCCAGCCUUAACCCCUAGAGCUGGCCACCUUCGGGCCUCCCCGACUGCCAGGUACUCCACUUACCUGCCCCCUCCCACACUAGGUCAUUCCCAGGCCCAGCCCCCCGUGUCCCCAGCCAUCCUGCAGGACACUCCGUCCUGCACCUGCUUGCCCUCAAUAGCAUUGAAAUCUCCCAUCUUUUCCUCUGGGCGCCCCCCCCCCCAUCUCUAGAGUCCGUAUGAGUGCGGGCAGCGGACGGGAGCAGGGUGACACGCAGACUGUAUACAGGGCCCCUUCGGUGUACACCCCGCUUGGAACAGGGCAGUGGAAAAACAAACAGCUUCGCAGGAGGAGAUGGAGUCUAAACACCAGCUCAUUUCACCGGCCCCUUGUUGAUCACCCAAGCACGUGUCCGCCCCCGGGUCUGACUCUAGAUUUUCCUGCACCAACUACCUGUGAUUCAAUUCACCUGUUUUUGAGGGUGUGAGGACUGAUCCAGGAGCUAUGAUGGUGUCCUCAGUGUGGGAUCCAUCAGGGCCUGAGACCACAGUAACCUCAAAUACCCAGACAAUAAUCAUUCUGCCUCCCACAGGGGAACCCAUGAGGAAGGGAACCUGG